UACGUAGGGUGCGAGCGUUGUCCGGAAUUAUUGGGCGUAAAGAGCUUGUAGGCGGUCUGUCGCGUCUGCUGUGAAAAUCCGGGGCUCAACUCCGGAUCUGCGGUGGGUACGGGCAGACUAGAGUGAUGUAGGGGAGACUGGAAUUCCUGGUGUAGCGGUGAAAUGCGCAGAUAUCAGGAGGAACACCGAUGCGAAGGCAGGUCUCUGGGCAUUAACUGACGCUGAGGAGCGAAAGCAUGGGGAGCGAACAGG
rnacentral:rRNA from 1 species